rnacentral:lncRNA from 1 species
UCUGACUUCGAUUCAUCUUCAUCAAGAUGGAUUAGCAAGCUCCUAGAUCAGCCUUGGAUUAGAUCUUCGAUAGAAUCUGGAUCAACUCUUAAUCGCAGCCUUCUUCUUCUUUUGCAUAGAUCUAUCAACACCCGACUCUUCGAGCACACCAGAUGGACCAGCCUAACUCCUUUGGGCGUGGGAGAGGAGAAAAGAGUAGAGAGGAGAGGGAGAGGGCAUGGA